rnacentral:rRNA from 1 species
UUGGAGGGCAAGUCUGGUGCCAGCAGCCGCGGUAAUUCCAGCUCCAAUAGCGUAUAUUAAAGUUGUUGCAGUUAAAAAGCUCGUAGUUGAAUUUCGGGGUCAGCAGGUUGGUCGUGCCUAUGGUAUGCACUGGCUUCGCUGAUCUCUCCUUUCUGAAGAACUGUAAUGCCAUUAAUUUGGUGUUGCAGGGACACAGGACUGUUACUUUGAAAAAAUUAGAGUGUUUAAAGCAGGCUAACGCUUAAAUACAUUAGCAUGGAAUAAUGAAAUAGGACGUUCGAACCUAUUUUGUUGGUUUCUAGGAUUGACGUAAUGAUUAAUAGGGAUAGUUGGGGGCAUUAGUAUUCAAUUGUCAGAGGUGAAAUUCUUGGAUUUAUUGAAGACUGACUACUGCGAAAGCAUUUGCCAAGGAUGUUUUCAUUAAUCAAGAACGAAAGUUAGGGGAUCGAAGACGAUCAGAUACCGUCGUAGUCUUAACCAUAAACUAUGCCGACUAGGGAUCGGAUGAUGUUAAUUUUUUAAUGACUCAUUCGGCGCCUUACGGGAAAC